rnacentral:tRNA from 1 species
GUUUCCGUAGUGUAGUGGUUAUCACGUGCGCCUCACACGCGCAAGGUCCCCGGUUCGAUCCCGGGCGGAAACU